rnacentral:rRNA from 1 species
GACGAACCUGACAAACGUUAUUCGGAAUUACUGGGCUUAAAGGGUGCGUAGGCGGCGCGACAAGUUGGGUGUGAAAUCCCUCGGCUCAACCGAGGAAGUGCGCUCAAUACUGUCGUGCUCGAGGGAGACAGAGGUGAGCGGAACUUAGGGUGGAGCGGUGAAAUGCGUUGAUAUCCUAAGGAACACCGGUAGCGAAAGCGGCUCACUGGGUCUUUUCUGACGCUGAGGCACGAAAGCUAGGGUAGCGAACGGG